GUUAUCCGUACAUAAAAAAAAUAAAAAUACAUUCACUGUGUAUAGUAUCGCUGUCACUCACUCACCAUCAAUGUUUUUUCACUCUGCUGCGCUUAUGGCGUGAUGAAAUUUUAAUCUGUACAAUAUUUCGGUAUAUUUAAUAUCAAAACCAUCAUUUGCUCCGGAGGGAUUCGCGAAACAGAAAGGCGCUACCGCAAUGAUGUUAUCUGCAUAGAAUCCAUCCGAAACAGGAGUAGUUGUUCCAAGGAUACCAUUCUAAGAGUUCAGGUUGAAAGUUAGUAAACAUUCGGCAGAAAUCCGACAUCGCGAAUAAGAUCUGAAUGCCGUCCACGUCGAAAUACCUGAUGAGGGUGGAGGCGGAUGGAGAUAGUGAUGAGGAAGUAAUUGGACCCGUGCCAACGAAGGCGGCGAGUGCUUGUAUUGGAAAAGGAAGGAUGAGCCACGCAGAAAUAGCCGUGACAGUAGCGAGAAGGACGAUGACGAUGAUGCUGAUCGAUAAGGAUGGAAAUAUGACAUAUUACUUCGCUAGUGACGGAUCCAUCCGGAGUCAGACUUGCAUUUGGAUCCAGGAUUGCAAUUUGAGCUUUUGGGGCUUUUCCAGAAGAUGAAGAGAUUCAAGAACCUGUAAUCAUCCGGUAAGAUAUCGCAUCUCUAGUUGAACGCCGGAACCACCGACAUGCGAAAACCGAUCUUUUUUCCAAAUCUAUACGUCGAACUUAACGUCGGGCAUAGUGCGCUGGACAGCGGAUCUGGUGUGCUACACAGCGCACCUAGGCCGACGUAGCUCCGACGCAUGGAUUUGGAGAAAAUCCGUUUUGGGUUUAUUCACAUAUUUCAUAACGCCGAAAAUGGCCAUUCUCGAUACCCACCCACCCCCUCGUAACGCAUUUUGUAUAAAUAUUUUGCGGAUUUUGUAUGAGCUGUAACAUCCUUACGACACCCACCCACCCCCUAUAGCGUUAUGAAAUUUGUGAAUUGGCCCUUUCGUGUAUCUAAAAUUCCGGUUUUCAACUGUGUGAAUAAUAUUUGAGAAUUGUAAUUUAAAAAUAAAUCUAUGAUUUUAAGCAUUGUAACACUUUCUCGUAUAUUUGUUAAUUAUAAACGAAUGGUGCAAUUUUA